rnacentral:rRNA from 1 species
UACGUAGGGGGCGAGCGUUGUCCGGAUUUAUUGGGCGUAAAGAGCUCGUAGGCGGUUUGGUAAGUCGGAUGUGAAAUCUCCAGGCUCAACCUGGAGGGGCCAUUCGAUACUGCCAUGACUUGAGUUCGGUAGGGGAGUGUGGAAUUCCUGGUGGAGCGGUGAAAUGCGCAGAGAUCAGGAGGAACACCCGUAGCGAAGGCGGCACUCUGGGCCGAUACUGACGCUGAGGAGCGAAAGCGUGGGGAGCGAACAGG